CGAAAGGACGGGUAAUACCGGAUACCCCGGGGUGCCGCAUGGCACCCCGGCUAAAGCCCCGACGGGAGGGGAUGGCUCCGCGGCCCAUCAGGUAGACGGCGGGGUGACGGCCCACCGUGCCGACAACGGGUAGCCGGGUUGAGAGACCGACCGGCCAGAUUGGGACUGAGACACGGCCUAGACUCCUACGGGAGGCAGCAGUGGGGAAUCUUGCGCAAUGGGGGGAACCCUGAUGCAGCGACGCCGCGUGCGGGACGGAGGCCUUCGGGUCGUAAACCGCUUUCAGCAGGGAAGAGUCAAGACUGUACCUGCAGAAGAAGCCCCGGCUAACUACGUGCCAGCAGCCGCGGUAAUACGUAGGGGGCGAGCGUUAUCCGGAUUCAUUGGGCGUAAAGCGCGCGUAGGCGGCCCGGCAGGCCGGGGGUCGAAGCGGGGGGCUCAACCCCCCGAAGCCCCCGGAACCUCCGCGGCUUGGGUCCGGUAGGGGAGGGUGGAACACCCGGUGUAGCGGUGGAAUGCGCAGAUAUCGGGUGGAACACCGGUGGCGAAGGCGGCCCUCUGGGCCGAGACCGACGCUGAGGCGCGAAAGCUGGGGGAGCGAACAGGAUUAGAUACCCUGGUAGUCCCAGCCGUAAACGAUGGACGCUAGGUGUGGGGGGACGAUCCCCCCGUGCCGCAGCCAACGCAUUAAGCGUCCCGCCUGGGGAGUACGGCCGCAAGGCUAAAACUCAAAGGAAUUGACGGGGGCCCGCACAAGCAGCGGAGCAUGUGGCUUAAUUCGAAGCAACGCGAAGAACCUUACCAGGGCUUGACAUAUGGGUGAAGCGGGGGAGACCCCGUGGCCGAGAGGAGCCCAUACAGGUGGUGCAUGGCUGUCGUCAGCUCGUGUCGUGAGAUGUUGGGUUAAGUCCCGCAACGAGCGCAACCC
rnacentral:rRNA from 1 species